AUGGUGCUGUGGGCGCUGCACAAGUUCCCCAAAGACACCGCCUUUGUGCUGCUCCAUGUCUGCUCCCAGCCCAAGCUCAUCCCCAUCAUGGGUGCCAGGAUCCCUGCUAGGCAGGUGCAAGAGCAGGAGCUGACUUCGUACAAGAAGAUGGAGUUGCAGAGAAUCAAUGACAGUCUGGACCAACAUCUGCUCCUAUGUGCACAGGAAAAGGUACAAGCUGAGAAGCUGGUGGUUGAAUCAGAUGAUGUGGCAGAGGGACUAGUGCAGCUCAUCACUGAGCAUCAUGUCACUGCCCUUGUCAUGGGGGCAGCAGCUGAUAAGCAUUACACAAAGAAAAUGAAAGCUCUCAAGUCCAAGAAAGCACAGGUUGUAGAACAGCGGGCAGAUCCUUCCUGCAAAAUAUGGUACAUCUGCAAAGGAACGCUUGUUUACCGUAGGAAGGCUGUUCCCCUUAGCCAUGGGGCAAGGCCGCAAGGUACACAAAAGCCUGGUGCUCAACAGUUUUCAGUGGAUAGAUCAACUAGCUUGUCAGAGAUGUGGUGUGUUUCAAAUACAUGGCUACACAAACCAAAUCUCAGACGAUCCGAUGCUAAUGAAAAGGAAACUGUUCACGAAUUUGAUGAGGGUGACAAUAAAUUCCAGCAUAUGCUCCGGGAGUUGGAGAGUGUAAGAAAACAAGCUUAUGAAGACAACUGCAGUCGUGAAAAGGCAGAAAGGGAGUUGUUUGAGGCUUUCCAGAAAGAUAUCAUGAGGGAGCCUCUAAUUGCUGCAGAUGGUUUUACCUAUGAAGCCGAAGCUAUAAGGGAGUGGAUUGACAAUGGCCACCAUACAUCACCCAUGACAAAUCUUGAGCUACUCCACCGUGAUCUUUUGCCGAACCAUGCCCUCCGUUCUACGAUCCAAGAAUGGCUGCAGACAAAUGCAAAUUAA
rnacentral:rRNA from 1 species